AAGAUGGACCAAAGGGCGAGACCAUUUUUUAAAAGAUGUUUUUACAGCCCUUUUUUUCAUCCUGGGAUGUAUUCUUAAUUAAGGAAGGACCGCACCAAACACACAUUUACCCAAAGAUACUCCAACGUCACCGAAAGACGUAGAAAAACACCGGACGUGACCCCUGAACUGCGCUCCUCCCAAACGAAUAGCCGUCGUUCUGGCGGCAAAAGGACGAGGUCGGUGCCGCCAAACAGUGGAGCUAAUGUCUCUAAAGCGGGGCAGCGUGCAAGGAACUCCAAAAAGGCUCUCCCCUGGCCCCGGGCCCGCAGUACAAGGCAGUCUGUUGUAUCAGUCGACACCCCCAGCGGCAGCAGCAUCACACAGAUGCAUUCUUGGCUGCAGAUAAUAAACACAGAGCGCAGUGGACACUUCAGAGCCGGCUCCACGCGGCUGAGAGGGGAGGACCACACUCAGCAGGGACAGGAUAUGGACUCCUGCAAUUAGUGAAACUGUACAUUCCACAGGGUAUCAAUUACACUAUGUAUACAGUGUGGUUACGCUUACGCAACCUCUGUGCCCAACCACAUAUGUUUUUGAUAUUUAUCUCUGAAGUAAUACCUUUGGAUUAAGCCACGCCUCCCUUACGGUGGCUACACUUGUCAAUCUGUCAC